rnacentral:rRNA from 1 species
UACGUAGGCAGCGAGCGUUGUUCGGAGUUACUGGGCGUAAAGGGUGUGUAGGCGGUUGUUUUAAGUUUGGUGUGAAAUCUCCCGGCUCAACUGGGAGGGUGCGCCGAAUACUGAAUGACUUGGAGUGCGGGAGAGGAGAGUGGAAUUCCUGGUGUAGCGGUGAAAUGCGUAGAUAUCAGGAGGAACACCGGUGGUGUAGACGGCUCUCUGGACCGUAACUGACGCUGAGACACGAAACGUGGGGAGCAAACAGG